GAUGAACGCUGGCGGCGUGCCUAAUACAUGCAAGUCGAGCGGACAGAUGAGGAGCUUGCUCCUCUGACGUUAGCGGCGGACGGGUGAGUAACAUGUGGAUAACCUACCUAUAAGACUGGGAUAACUUCGGGAAACCGGAGCUAAUACCGGAUAAUAUAUUGAACCGCAUGGUUCAAUAGUGAAAGACGGUUUUGCUGUCACUUAUAGAUGGAUCCGCGCCGCAUUAGCUAGUUGGUAAGGUAACGGCUUACCAAGGCAACGAUGCGUAGCCGACCUGAGAGGGUGAUCGGCCACACUGGAACUGAGACACGGUCCAGACUCCUACGGGAGGCAGCAGUAGGGAAUCUUCCGCAAUGGGCGAAAGCCUGACGGAGCAACGCCGCGUGAGUGAUGAAGGUCUUCGGAUCGUAAAACUCUGUUAUUAGGGAAGAACAAAUGUGUAAGUAACUAUGCACGUCUUGACGGUACCUAAUCAGAAAGCCACGGCUAACUACGUG
rnacentral:rRNA from 1 species